ensembl:lncRNA
ACGAGACAAAGCCAACACAUAUGUUGUCACUCCCCACGACUAGUUUAAAAUGUUUCCAUACCUCCGAUUUUCCUCCAAACUUGCUCAAAGUUAAUUCUCCUGUUUUAAUUUUUUUUUCUUUGAUUCUUCAAGCUCCAUGUGGCACUUAAGCUACUGAAUAGUACAGCACGCACAGCAGGUGUGAUGCGUCACGCGUGCGAGACUGCGAAUGCGAGUGGACGAGACGCUGCGCAUGACACGUGAUGUGCUUUAUCAAGGGCCCGACCCGACCCGGCCCGAGGACGGUUGCGGGAAAUAUCGGCCCGACCCGGCCCGCGGGUCGGGUCGGGUCGAGUCCGGGCUCGGGCUCGGGCAGAGAAUCUAAGCUCUACUAGGGUUACAUACGUAACCUAGAGACGUUUUUGGAUGUUUAUUAUAAAGAAAAUGCUGUUCGAUGUGUCUUUAAGCUGUCACAGAUCAAGCCGGAGACAACAGGUAGUAGGCUAAAGGUAAGUAGGUUUAUUGACAGGAACUGCAGAGAAUGAAUGACUGAAGUAAUGAAUGGUGAGUAUCCGACUUGAUAGACAGUUCUGUAAAUUUUAGUUUGGUAGUAGAUGGUUUUCCUCUUAUAGGUUGGUAGAGAGUAUGGGAACCAUGAACAGAGGAGAUCAACGGAGGAACCUCGGGAAUCUAAAGAUAAAAAAGGAACUGAAACAUAGACGUUUCAUUCUGUUCUUGACACAUGAUGGAUCUGCGUGUCUCUGUUGUUCUUCUGUUAAUUUUUCUCACUGGAGGAUACUCUCUCAAGUGUUACGUGUGCAAUACUUUGCUGACGGAUUACUGUGAAGCAAAAGUGGAGUUAUGUCGCGAUGGAUUCUCCAAAUGUCAAAGCCAAGCAACGGAAAUAUCCAUGGGUUUCGCUGAGAUAUUAAGCAUAACUAGAAAUUGUGCUUCUACAUGUGAAGCUGGGACCGAACAUUCCUGGGCUGGAGAGACAGUAACCCAGUGCUGUGACACUGACCUUUGCAAUGCAGCAGAUGGCCUGUAUAAGACAAGCUUCCUCCUGCUGUUGUCUCCUCUGCUCUUCUACUUCCUGUUUCACUGAUUCCAGCAGCAGUUCAGAUUCUACAGCAGCAGCAGAAACUGAACGUCACACACAUUUCUAUUCUUGAAUAAACAAAUAAAGCUUGUCAAUCAUUAAAAUGUGGUUUUGUUUGUUCAGCUAUAGGUUAACUAAUCCAGUGCUUCCCAAACCUGUCCUGGAGGCCCCCCUGCCCUGCACCUUUUAUAUGUAUCCCUUAUCUAACACACCUGAUUCCACU